rnacentral:tRNA from 1 species
GAGGGCAUAGCUCAGUGGUAGAGUGCAUGCCUAGCAUGUUUGAGGUCCUGAGUUCAAUCCCCAGUACCUUCA